rnacentral:rRNA from 1 species
UACGAAGGGGGCUAGCGUUGCUCGGAAUCACUGGGCGUAAAGCGCACGUAGGCGGUUCUUUAAGUCGGGGGUGAAAUCCUGGAGCUCAACUCCAGAACUGCCUUCGAUACUGGGGAUCUUGAGUCCGAGAGAGGUGAGUGGAACUCCGAGUGUAGAGGUGAAAUUCGUAGAUAUUCGGAAGAACACCAGUGGCGAAGGCGGCUCACUGGCUCGGUACUGACGCUGAGGUGCGAAAGCGUGGGGAGCAAACAGG